rnacentral:rRNA from 1 species
GACGAACGCUGGCGGCGUGCUUAACACAUGCAAGUCGAGCGGUAAGGCCCUUUCGGGGUACGACGAGCGGCGAACGGGUAGGAGUAACACGUGGGUGGACCUCGCCCUCCAGCUCUGGGAGUAAGCCUCGGGAAACCGGGGUACUAAUACCGGAUAUGACUCCAUGACGCAUGUUGUGGGGUGGAAAGACCUUGUGCGGCUGAGGAUGGGCCCGGCGGCCUAUCAGCUUGUUGGUGGGGUGAUGGCCUACCAAGGCGACGACGGGUAGCCGGCCUGAGAGGGCGACCGGCCACACUGGGGACUGAGACACGGCCCAGACUCCUACGGGAGGCAGCAGUGGGGAAUCUUGCGCAAUGGGCGAAAGCCUGACGCAGCGACGCCGCGUGA